rnacentral:lncRNA from 1 species
UGCUUCUCAGUCAAUAUUAGAAGACUCUCUGUAAGUCAAUAUUUCGUUGAGGAUCUGCUUCUACUUAUUUACAGUUUUGUUGAAUCUUUGUUCUGUUUUUCUUAGUACUCUAGUGUGGUGUAAAGGUAUAACAGGUUUCCAUUUCAAUAAUUGUAACUUGUACACUUAUAGAUCAAGUAUUGACUCCUGCAUAUCUUUUUUAGCUUGGUGAGAAGACCACUACGCUCUUUGUUAAAGUCAAAGUUAAAAGGCCACACAGGUUGCUCUAUCUAAUUGUUUAUGAUCAUGUCCUACUCAAGUAUCUGAUGGUAGAGAUUGACUCAUUGCUCAAGAAAAAGUAUUGCGAUGCACUACUUAGUUUGGAUGAACUUGUCAAGUUAUUUUCUACUAGUAUAUGCUCGUUUUCAUGUUUGAUGAUUGGUAAUUAACUUUGCUAUAGAUUGCUAUAGAUGAUUGGUGAUUAACAUCUGGUUGACUCUGUGAAGCAAAAUUUAGACAUAGAAAUUAGAUAUUGAUGGGAAGAUAACUUCUGUUCUUUUUCUCCUAUAGAGGUUGGUGGACAAAAUUAAAAGUUUCUUUCUCCUAUGCAAUUUCGAGCAAGUCUCUUUUGCUUCACAAAUGAGAAAUAGCUGCAACAUUUCAAUCAAGUAUUAGAUGAUGUAGACCUCUUUUGCAUUCUCUAUUUUUAUUUUUAAGUGAGAAUUUUUCCUCUAUGUUUUAAAGUUAAGUUCUUGUGGGUGAUGUUUUCAGCAUGUUUUUACAUGAGUUUCUGGUCACCUAAACUUGGUGGAAUAAUUGCUUUUCCUCAAUGAACUUGUUAAGCUAAUAUUCAGAUGGGUACACUUUUGUUCAGUUGAGGUUUCACUCUUCUGUUAUUCGCUAUUUUGUUUUGUUCGGAAAUGCUGAAGUGAGAUUGGGGAAGAAUAGUGUGGAGGAGGUUUUGGAAUUGGGUCCUCUCUGA